GGGGAGAUCGCAUAGUGGUCGAGUGCGGCCGCCUGCUAAGCGGUUGUAGGGGCUUUUUAACCUCUACCGAGGGUUCGAAUCCCUCUCUCCCCGCCA
rnacentral:tRNA from 1 species